rnacentral:rRNA from 1 species
AAAAAAAAUCCUCCGAUGAACUGUGUGUAGGGGUGAAAGGCUAAUCAAGGCUGGCGAUAGCUGGUUCUCCCCGAAAGAUAUUUAGGUAUCGCCUCGGAAUUAAGCGUGUUGGGGGUAAAGCACUGAAUGGACUAGGGCGCCUACCAGCGUACCAACUCCAAUCAAACUCUGAAUACCAACAAGGCAUGUCCGGGAGUCAGUUCGUGGGUGAUAAGAUUCACGAGCGAGAGGGAAAAAGCCCAGACCAUCAGCUAAGGUCCCAAAAUUUGUGCUCAGUGGAAAAGGAUGUGGAGAUUCUCAGACAACUAGGAGGUUGGCUUAGAAGCAGCAAUCCUUUAAAGAAAGCGUAAUAGCUCACUAGUCCAGAAACUCCGCGCCGACGAUGUAAUGGGGCUCAAGCACAAUACCGAAGCUAUGGCUGUAACAGAUCCGUCGUGUUCUGUUACGGGGUAGGGGAGCAUGGAUUUUACCUGCGAAGGUGUACCGCAAGGCACGCUGGAGGCUAAUCCAGAGAUUAUGCUGACAUGAGUAACGAUAAACCGAGUGAGAACCUCGGUCGCCGUAAACCCAAGGGUUCCUGGGGCAGGACAAUCCUCCCAGGGUUAGUCGAAUCCUAAGCCGAGGCUGCGAAGCGUAGGCGAUGGCAAACAGGUUAAUAUUCCUGUACCGGUGUGGAUUGUUGAAGCGGGUUGGGACGGAGAAAGCUAUGCAUGCCGUGCAUUGGAUGUCACGGUUCAAGCUUGUAGGCUGAAGCUAUACGAUUAAAAGGUAGCUUCGUUAAGGCCGAGAAGUGAUGUGGCCUGAAGUCUUCGGACGGAUGGUAAGUUGCAGAUGCUACGCUUCCAAGAAAAGCAACACGCAGAGAUUCACAUUGUUCGUACCGUAAACCGACUCAGGUGGGUAAGGAGAGAAUCCUCAGGCGUUUGAGAGAAAUUGAGUGAAGGAACUCUGCAUAUUGAUACCGUAACUUCGGGAUAAGGUAUGCCUCAUGGUGUGAAGGGUUUACCCCGUAAGCAUCGCGAGGUCGCAGCGAAAUGAGGGCGCCGACUGUUUACCAAAAACACAGGUCUCUGCAAAGUCGUAAGACGACGUAUAGGGGCUGACGCCUGCCCGGUGCUGGAAGGUUAAAGGGAUAUGUUAGGGUUAAACCGAAGCAUUGAACUGAAGCCCCAGUAAACGGCGGCCGUAACAAUAACGGUCCUAAGGUAGCGAAAUUCCUUGGCGGGUAAGUUCCGUCCUGCACGAGGGCGUAACGAGUGCCCUACUGUCUCCACUCAGUCCUCAGUGAAAUUGAACUCCCGGUGCAGAUGCCGGGUUACCGCAGCAAGACGGAAAGACCCCGUGAACCUUUACUGUAACUUGGCAGUGAGUGUCGGUUCUUCAUGUGUAGAAUAGGUGGGAGACGUUGAUCCCAGGGCGCUAGCCUUGGGGGAGUCAAUAGUGAAAUACCACCCUUGAAGGACUGGCUCUCUAACCUCGGCCCGUAAUCCGGGCCAGGGACACUGUCUGGUGGGCAGUUUGACUGGGGCGGUCGCCUCCCAAAGUGUAACC